GGGACACGUGGUAUCCUGUCUGAAUAUGGGGGGACCAUCCUCCAAGGCUAAAUACUCCUGACUGACCGAUAGUGAACCAGUACCGUGAGGGAAAGGCGAAAAGAACCCCGGCGAGGGGAGUGAAAAAGAACCUGAAACCGUGUACGUACAAGCAGUGGGAGCACAGGUUUACCUGUGUGACUGCGUACCUUUUGUAUAAUGGGUCAGCGACUUAUAUUCUGUAGCAAGGUUAACCGUAUAGGGGAGCCGGAGGGAAACCGAGUCUUAAUUGGGCGUUAAGUUGCAGGGUAUAGACCCGAAACCCGGUGAUCUAGCCAUGGGCAGGUUGAAGGUUGGGUAACACUAACUGGAGGACCGAACCGACUAAUGUUGAAAAAUUAGCGGAUGACCUGUGGCUGGGGGUGAAAGGCCAAUCAAACCGGGAGAUAGCUGGUUCUCCCCGAAAGCUAUUUAGGUAGCGCCUCGUGAAUUCAUCUCCGGGGGUAGAGCACUGUUUCGGCUAGGGGGCCAUCCCGGCUUACCAACCCGAUGCAAACUGCGAAUACCGGAGAAUGUUAUCACGGGAGACACACGGCGGGUGCUAACGUCCGUCGUGAAGAGGGAAACAACCCAGACCGCCAGCUAAGGUCCCAAAGUCAUGGUUAAGUGGGAAACGAUGUGGGAAGGCCCAGACAGCCAGGAUGUUGGCUUAGAAGCAGCCAUCAUUUAAAGAAAGCGUAAUAGCUCACUGGUCGAGUCGGCCUGCGCGGAAGAUGUAACGGGGCUAAACCAUGCACCGAAGCUGCGGCAGCGACGCUUAUGCGUUGUUGGGUAGGGGAGCGUUCUGUAAGCCUGUGAAGGUGGCCUGUGAGGGUUGCUGGAGGUAUCAGAAGUGCGAAUGCUGACAUAAGUAACGAUAAAGCGGGUGAAAAGCCCGCUCGCCGGAAGACCAAGGGUUCCUGUCCAACGUUAAUCGGGGCAGGGUGAGUCGACCCCUAAGGCGAGGCCGAAAGGCGUAGUCGAUGGGAAACGGGUUAAUAUUCCCGUACUUGGUGUUACUGCGAAGGGGGGACGGAGAAGGCUAUGUUGGCCGGGCGACGGUUGUCCCGGUUUAAGCGUGUAGGUGUGUGUUCCAGGUAAAUCCGGUUCACUUUAACACUGAGGCGUGACGACGAGGCACUACGGUGCUGAAGCAACAAAUGCCCUGCUUCCAGGAAAAGCCUCUAAGCAUCAGGUAACAUCAAAUCGUACCCCAAACCGACACAGGUGGUCAGGUAGAGAAUACCAAGGCGCUUGAGAGAACUCGGGUGAAGGAACUAGGCAAAAUGGUGCCGUAACUUCGGGAGAAGGCACGCUGACACGUAGGUGAAGUGAUUUACUCAUGGAGCUGAAGUCAGUCGAAGAUACCAGCUGGCUGCAACUGUUUAUUAAAAACACAGCACUGUGCAAACACGAAAGUGGACGUAUACGGUGUGACGCCUGCCCGGUGCCGGAAGGUUAAUUGAUGGGGUCAGCGCAAGCGAAGCUCCUGAUCGAAGCCCCGGUAAACGGCGGCCGUAACUAUAACGGUCCUAAGGUAGCGAAAUUCCUUGUCGGGUAAGUUCCGACCUGCACGAAUGGCGUAAUGAUGGCCAGGCUGUCUCCACCCGAGACUCAGUGAAAUUGAACUCGCUGUGAAGAUGCAGUGUACCCGCGGCAAGACGGAAAGACCCCGUGAACCUUUACUAUAGCUUGACACUGAACAUUGAGCCUUGAUGUGUAG
rnacentral:rRNA from 1 species